CGCGAAUGAUCGCUUACACUCGACUUCAAGACAAGCCUUAUUCAUGUACCUGGUUUUGGACUUUAAGAUCAUAUUCUGGAGAGUGGCAAGGUCCAUCAACACUUGAUGUGUUGUUGUGAGUUGGUUGACAGUCCGUCAUCUUCUUGCCUUGUCUAGAUCUGCAACGAGCCGGUCAGCGCUCUGAACAAACGCCAGUGAAUUUGACUUUGCAGACAGCGUACAUGCGUUGUUUUAAUCUAUACAUUUCAUUAGGCCUACAGUUUUAUUGGUAAACAGUUAAGCUGUGUCCAUAACAAUGAAUAAAUCUAAAUUAGCGAUCGGACUUUUUGUCGCAGGUACUCUGACUGCAGUGUUUGGGUUAGUUAUUGUAUUCGUUGGACCAAUCAUCAUUGACGACCAAAUAGUAAAGAACUUAGUAAUAGACCCUAAGAAUGAGAUAUCCUACACCAUGUGGAAGGACAUCCCUGUCCCUUUCUUCAUGUCUGUCUACUUCUUCAACAUCCUCAACCCCACCGAAGUCCUUGCGGGAGAGAAACCCAUGGUGGAGCAGAGAGGACCCUACGUAUACAGGAAGCGUCUUCAGAAGCAGAACAUCACGUUCCAUCCCAACGAUACAGUGUCGUAUCUUGAAUACAGGAGCUACUACUUUGAGCCCAGCAUGUCAGUGGGCAAUGAGUCGGAUGUGGUCACCAUCCCCAACAUGCUGGUGUUGGGUGCGGCGGUGAUGAUGGAAAACAUGCCAAUCGCAGUGCGUCUGUUGCUCAGCGCCACCUUUAAGGGCUUUAAGGAGGGACCCUUCCUAAGCAAGUCUGUAGGAGAGCUGAUGUGGGGCUACGACAGCAAGCUGGUGGACUUCCUCAAUAAAUGGUUCCCUGGGAUGCUGCCCUCCACUGGCAAGUUUGGCCUCUUCUCUGCGUUCAACAACUCCAACACUGGUCUGUUCACCGUCCACACUGGGAAGGAUGACAUCCGGCUGAUUCACAAAGUGAACUCAUGGAACGGCUUGACCAAGUUGAUAUAUUGGAGGACUCCCCAGUGUAACAUGAUCAACGGUACAGCAGGACAAAUGUGGCCUCCCUUCAUGACCAAAGAGUCCACACUGCCCUUCUACAGUCCUGACGUCUGCAGGUCUUUGGAGCUGGUGUACCAGCGUGAGGGGACAAUGAAAGGGAUUCCCCUCUAUCGCUUUGUGGCUCCUAAGACUAUGUUCGCUAAUGGCUCAGACUACGCUCCCAAUGAGGGCUUCUGUCCCUGCAGACAAUCUGGCCUCCUCAACGUCAGCAGCUGCAGAGCCAACGCCCAAGUGUUCAUUUCCCAACCCCACUUCUACAAUGCUGACCCUGUGCUGCUGGACUACGUACAGGGACUUCAGCCUAUUGAGGACGAACACGGACUAUUCAUAGACAUCCACCCUGAGACUGGUGUGCCUCUGAAUGUGUCUAUCCGUCUGCAGCUCAACCUGUACAUGAAGGAGGUGUCUGGUAUCACGGAAACAGGGAAGAUCUCAGAGGUUGUGAUGCCCAUGAUCUGGUUUGAGGAGAAUGGUUAUAUGGAUGAUGCCACCGUGAAAACGUUCCACACCAACCUGGUGCUAUUGCCAAUGGUGAUGGUGUACAUGCAGUACUGUUUCCUAGGCUUGGGCCUGGCCACCGCUCUGGGAGCUGUACUACUACACUACAGAGGGAAGGUGUUGUUGAAAAAGAUCUGCCUACAGUGAUCGAAAACCAUGGGGCAACGGUUAAAGACCCAGUAAACGGCACAGAUGGACACAUUUAUCACGAAUGACACAGAUCAUAAAAUGUGAGAGGACUGUCAUACCGGACGCCAGCGUGAGCACUUCAUCCAGCGAGCAAACCCCUCUAAUACAGGACCACGUGGACUAACACGCAUGUAGGGCAGAGCUGCCUAGCCCAGUUCUGCAGGACUCUGUCUGCAUGCGUUUUAUUGAGACUGAUGAUCACUGGAACCCCCAAAACCACUGAUUCUCUCCUGCUAUCUAUAUCUCUCUCUUUCUCUCAGCUAUAAACUCUCUCACCUGGUACAGUUCUCACCUGGUCCUGCAUCUGCUCCGGGAGACUUUGGAGACCUUCAUUCUGUUCAGGACUCACCGGUCAACAGGGAAGGGCAGGACCACCCCGGUUGGUGGUGGUGUCCCAUCCAACCCUCCAAUGAGGAUUCACUCUCGGAAUACAUCAUGGAACGUCACUGCAUCCUCACUCGCUGUUAUGUGAAUUUUUUCCUCGUCUGUUUGUCCUUCCGUUUCUUCCAAUGUUUUAACAACUUAGUAUUAUGUGUUUAUUACUAUUCCUGAAAUGCAACAGGAAAACCACUCCACUAUCUGUAUUGUUCUGCUUUCCUCUCCUCUGGUCUGUGUAGAAGUUGCCUGUAUGCACAGAGCUAGGAUCAGAAAAUCCUACCCUUAGCCUUUUAGGGGAAGAAAUUGAAAAGUGACCCCCAAAUCAGCACCUAAAAGCAACUUCAUUCUACAAUAUCUCACCAGACCAAAGAAUCAAAAAGUGAACUUGUUUCUGGGGUAAAUUACAGUCAAUUCAGGAAGUAGACUGAAAUUCCAACUAUCGUCCAUGCUUUUCAAUGAGGGGAAACUGGAAUUUGGUUUACUUUCUGAAUUGACUGUAAUUUAGAUGGGAUUUACCCCCAACCCAGGGGCAAAGGAGAUAUUAUUUGUCUGUUUACCUAAGCACAGUACUUGACUUGGGCAGGAGCUCACUGGAACUGAGUACUGGCAACUCAAAUGUUCUUCUGCUUGAAUUCCUGCACCUCCUAUUGAAUAUUAACUCCAAAGUAUUAAGGAGUUCCGGCACUUAAAAAUAAACUGUACCUGCACCCAAAAUGAGUACUGGCAAGUCAAACACUGGCCUAAACAUGUCUAUACCAUCAGAUGGGAUUCAUAGCAAACAGAAGGAAGGGCGUGUGAAAACAAAAGGGAUAUAUUUACAAUACAUUUUAUUUGGCAGAUGCCUUUUCAGGACACUCAAGGACAUCUUACAUAAAAUCUGGUGCUGUACAUAAAAUCCAUUUCAUUUAGGCCUAUGUGAUGAAUUUGAAUGAAUUAUUUACCGGGAAGUAAGACUGUCAGCUUACCAAUUUCAAAAUAAUGGGGAGGGUUCUUGCACGUGUCACUUCACACUGAUACCAUGUGCAGUAAACCGUAGCAAUAGCUGUGUAGGCUAGGCUGUGUAGGAUACUCACCGUGAGCCAGCGAAGACUCACUAGCCAACAAAGCUCACUGUUUACAUUUUUUUGUUUUUUAAGAUGCCAUUUCUAGAAGAGGAUGUUGGAGCAUAUGCCAUGUUUGAUAUUAGUGAUUUCACCAUGAAGGGCUUCCAGUCCCCCUCCUAUAUUACUCACGGAUCUAAUUUAAGGGCCUUUAAGACAUUUUCAGUAAAUCCAAUCGGCGCUUACAAUGCUGUUUUCAUUCAACCCUUUUUAUUUUUUUGAAAUGAUGAAACGCUCUUCUCCACUUCGACUCAUGGACAUCAGUCCGGUGAAAUGAAGUUAUUUAAAUGUAUGCUCCGAUGUGCCUCGCAAAUAAUAGGCUAUUGUCUUACCCGUGUUAAUAGUCUAGCUUGAGACUCAUUUUGAAAUAGAAGGGAUUCUACGUUAUUUAUAAGGGUAGGCCUACAUGGAUAAAACUGGAUCUGUUAUUUAUAUAUGAAAAUGGGCAAAUGCAUGAACAGUCAAACAGUAUUUCCAGUCAAUGAUUUUUAGGAAUUUAAUUGGAAGUAGAACUGUGCCCUGUGUUUCCCUGCCCAUGCAUUAGUUAGGCCCUAUAGGCUAUUGAUCAUUUAAUUGUUCAUCAGAUUCUUCAUAUACAAUUAAUAGUAUUCUCACCAAUUUACAUUAUUGUCAAUUUAAUCUAUUCUUUAUGCUAACUGUGUGUCAAAUUUACUUUUGAUGUAGUUUCGUUGGGCUGUCGGCUGCACAGACCUGGUGGGCAAAGGGGGGGGAAUGACAUCCUCUUAAUAUCAACCAGAAUUUAGGUUAAAAGCAUUAUGAUUCUAACAACGAUCAUGUGUUGGACUUAUUUAGGACAAGUCAAGGACAGGGGUGACAGCUUUAAAAAAAAAAUGGCAGAGUAAUUGAAAAAGUGAUUUUCCGGUCAAAAUGACUCUCGGCUCUCCUAGUGUUAAAGGGUUACGUUUGUGGCCGCCUAAUCUACUAAUCUCGUGGUUGCUGAUCCAGGAAAUGUGCCAAGCCUGUUGUGAUUAUUACUGCUAUAUCAGGGCGUUUAUGUUCUAGUCUCAGUCUAUUAAUUAUAGGUCUACGGUUUAUUAUGUGUAGUAGGUCUGAGUUUCUUUUUUUUUUUUUUUGCCCACCUAAAUUUUAGCGGGCCCUGCCAUUAAUGGAUUUCUGCCUAUGCCACUGCCUCAACCCAUUAUUUUUUUGUUGCAAUGUUAGGAAUAACGCCUCAGAGUAAAUUAGUUGAUCUAGAAAUGUCCCUCUGCUGAUGGCAUAGGCACCAAUAAUGACUGACGUUUUACUACACCAAUGUGCCUUUUCAAUUGGAAACUUCUCCUUUGCCCAAGCCCAAAUUGACUCCUAAACCCUUGCCACUCCAUGUAGAUUUGAGAGGAUUGGAUAGCUCUGGUAGCUCCACCUUGCCCUCUGGAUUUUCACCAUACAGCAAAUGCUCAUGGGCGUCCAAGGCUAGGGGCCAGGGGUCCAUUUGGAAUUGGGUUGUUGUUUAUGGUGUGUCCUGUGUCUAUUGUGGCCAUAGACCAGGGGUGCUCAAACUUUUGGGCUUGGUGGGCCAAAAUAUAAUCUAAGUGGUGGGCCACGGGCUGAACGUAUAAGUAUUUAUAAAAGAAUUUAAAAAGUAAACAAUAGCUUUUUGUAAGCAAACAUAAAAUCACACUUCAAACAUUGUAGCCAUAUAACUUGAAACCUAACCACAUUCUGAUUACCACCUCACAGGCAAGACAAUUUAGUGUGUACCCUCCCCCCCAGGGGCCAUUAAACAAAUGUUGCCAUGACUUAUGCCAUGUUCAUAUGAGUGUUUACUUAGUCACUCAAUCAGUGAGAGGCCCCUGGUGGUUAGGGCCCCUGGGCACAUGCCCUGCAUGCCCAGUUGGUAAGUUGGUGAUGAAUAGCCUCCUACAAGGUUUAAAUAGCUGGCUAGACUACCUUACCUAGCAAUACAAAAGAAUGUUACCCGACAUGGGCUACAUUACCAUGAGAGGCCAAACCAAACGUUGUCGGCCCUGCCAUAGACCAUACUGUACACAGUAAUAAUUCUGUGAAUGUAAAGAGCAUAGUACCUAAAAUGCUCGUGUCCAAACUAUGGCUGUGUCUCAAAUGGCACCCUAUUCCCUAUAUAGUGCACUCUGGCCAAAGGUAGUGUAUUAUUAGGGUGCCAUUUGGGACGUAUAUAUUGGGAAUAGGGUGUCUUUGGGGAUGCACACAAGGGUCUGGGUGUGCUUUUUGACAACACAGGCUCUUUGAAUGAGAUUGAGAUUUGUGAAUUUAUGCCGUCAUACUCCUUUAAGUGGUGAGAAUAACUUUGUAAAUAAGUGAAUAAAUGUGCCAUGAAUUGGCAUACAUUACUUCCA